UCAGAGGAAAAAGCAAAAAAUGUUUACUUUUCCUUUCGUAACCGUAAAAGCACUUUCUGAGAGACAUAUUGAACAACCACCAGCGCUAGCUAGAUGGAAUGACUGCUUGGUGUUGUGCCAGAUGGUGGGGCUGAGAUAGGCGGGGCCAUCUACUGUGCUGAAGAGCUGGAGCCAGUCGAUUAUUGAAAAAUCUAGUAUUGAGUUUAUUUCUACUAAAACAUGAGCAAUAAUCUCAACCUACAGGGCCGGAUCGCAGUCCUGUGAGGCCCCUGGGCACAUAUCUUUUGGACAUGGAUUCCUUGAGAUUUUGGCUCCAUAGUGAGGAGUUUUCUGUUUGCGUGCUUUACUCCACGAGCACUCUCUGCCGCAUGCCUGCUCACUGCACCUGUCUGCCCGCUCUGAAGACUCUCUGCCUGGACUUGUUAGUUG